CCCAUAGGGCACCCAGAAUCACCCAUAGGAUUCCCAUUACGACCCAUAGGUCUGCCAGUAUGACCCAUAGGGCACCCAUUAUCACCCACAGGCCACCCACUGGCACCCAUAGGCACCCAGUAUCACCCAUAGGACUCCCAGUAUCACCCAUAGGACUCCCAUUAUCACCCAUUAGGACACCCAGUCUCACCCAUAGGCACCCAGUAUCACCCAUAGGACUCCCCGUAUCACCCAUAGGGCACCCAGUAUCACCCAUACGACUCCCAUUAUCACCCAUUAGGACACCCAGUAUCACCCACAGGGCACCCAGUAUCACCCAUAGGACUCCCAUUACGACCCAUAGGUCUGCCAGUAUCACCCACAGGACUCCCAGUAUCACCCAUAGGACACCCAGUCUCACCUACAGGCCACCCACCGGCACCCAUAGGCACC
rnacentral:lncRNA from 1 species